CCCAUAGGCAGUUGUGGCUGAGCUGGCUCCUGGGUGCUGGCAGCUCACCCUGUAUUCAACCCGCAGUUCUCCUGCUAGCACAGAGUUGGUCCCCUCCCAGGCCCAUGGAGUGGGUGCCUGGUGCUGGAUAGGAAGCAUUUUUGUGGGCACUGGUGAGGAAGAGCUGGGGAAGCCCCAGCCACCCACGUAAAUCUGUGCAACCCUGUUUGGUCUGGAUAACUUCAAACAAGAAGCACUUGGAGAGCCUGAAGAAUGAUGGCGAUGCUCUUAUCCAGGCUCUGGAGAGCCUGGUCCAAACUCCCAGCUCUGACGUUGACAGUGCUGUUGCUUCCUUGGCAUCUGAAAUUCUGAGAGCGGUGGGACAUGAAAAUAUCAAGACUCCCAAGUGAAAAAUUUUUGACCAUCCUUCUGAAAUGUGCAGGUUGUGUACCUUGCUCAGCACCUUGGUCCUGCAGGAACAUCUUCAGAUGUGCUGAGCAUUUAGCAAUCUGAGCUGCAGCAUUUGCAGAAUUCGAGCUGGCUCAGGAAGGGAGGGAAGCUGGUUCAGGGGUGGGGAAGGGGUAGUUUGUAUUUUAAAUCCUUGUAAGGAUGAAUUCUUGGUUACUACUUUGCUUUGCUGGCAUUACAUGAUGUAGCUCAAGUAUUUGAUAGUUUGAAAGUGUAAAUUAAAUGAAUAGUAGAGUUACUUCACAAUAUGAAGUGUUUCACUAUUUCAAGCUAGUUAGAAAUGCUAAUUUAUCUUUUGGACCGGGUGACUGCCUUGGCUGUUCAUCUUAAGGGGUCACCUCAUGCUUGUGACUGGCACUAGAAAAUAGCUUUUUAUCGAGACAGACAAUAUUGUUCAUCUCAAGCAACCAGUACCAACCACUGUGAUCACACAGAGGCUGUGUGUAGGGCAUGUAAGGAUAGAUAUUAGCCAGGUUUCUACUCACAGCCUUGUACUCGCUAGCCCCUCCUUCGUCUAGCACUGCUCAGCUUAAGCUACAAGGGCGGAGUGUUGUUCUCAGCUGCCAACGCUCCUGGCUGCAGCUGAGAACAGGUGCGGUGAUGACCCUGGCUGUCAAACCCCCAGUAAAAGCUGGUACCCUAGAAAAGGUCCUCAGUGUGUGUAGAGUUAAAUUCUU
rnacentral:lncRNA from 1 species